GAUUAAGUUAUUAAGGGCGCACGGUGGAUGCCUUGGCACUAGAAGCCGAUGAAGGACGUUACUAACGACGAUAUGCUUUGGGGAGCUGUAAGUAAGCUUUGAUCCAGAGAUUUCCGAAUGGGGAAACCCAGCAUGAGUUAUGUCAUGUUAUCGAUAUGUGAAUACAUAGCAUAUCAGAAGGCACACCCGGAGAACUGAAACAUCUUAGUACCCGGAGGAAGAGAAAGAAAAUUCGAUUCCCUUAGUAGCGGCGAGCGAAACGGGAAGAGCCCAAACCAACAAGCUUGCUUGUUGGGGUUGUAGGACACUCUAUACGGAGUUACAAAGGACGACAUUAGACGAAUCAUCUGGAAAGAUGAAUCAAAGAAGGUAAUAAUCCUGUAGUCGAAAAUGUUGUCUCUCUUGAGUGGAUCCUGAGUACGACGGAGCACGUGAAAUUCCGUCGGAAUCUGGGAGGACCAUCUCCUAAGGCUAAAUACUCUCUAGUGACCGAUAGUGAACCAGUACCGUGAGGGAAAGGUGAAAAGCACCCCGGAAGGGGAGUGAAAUAGAACCUGAAACCGUGUGCUUACAAGUAGUCAGAGCCCGUUAAUGGGUGAUGGCGUGCCUUUUGUAGAAUGAACCGGCGAGUUACGAUUUGAUGCAAGGUUAAGCAGUAAAUGUGGAGCCGUAGCGAAAGCGAGUCUGAAUAGGGCGUUUAGUAUUUGGUCGUAGACCCGAAACCAGGUGAUCUACCCUUGGUCAGGUUGAAGUUCAGGUAACACUGAAUGGAGGACCGAACCGACUUACGUUGAAAAGUGAGCGGAUGAACUGAGGGUAGCGGAGAAAUUCCAAUCGAACCUGGAGAUAGCUGGUUCUCUCCGAAAUAGCUUUAGGGCUAGCCUCAAGUGAUGAUUAUUGGAGGUAGAGCACUGUUUGGACGAGGGGCCCCUCUCGGGUUACCGAAUUCAGACAAACUCCGAAUGCCAAUUAAUUUAACUUGGGAGUCAGAACAUGGGUGAUAAGGUCCGUGUUCGAAAGGGAAACAGCCCAGACCACCAGCUAAGGUCCCAAAAUAUAUGUUAAGUGGAAAAGGAUGUGGCGUUGCCCAGACAACUAGGAUGUUGGCUUAGAAGCAGCCAUCAUUUAAAGAGUGCGUAAUAGCUCACUAGUCGAGUGACACUGCGCCGAAAAUGUACCGGGGCUAAACAUAUUACCGAAGCUGUGGAUUGUCCUUUGGACAAUGGUAGGAGAGCGUUCUAAGGGCGUUGAAGCAUGAUCGUAAGGACAUGUGGAGCGCUUAGAAGUGAGAAUGCCGGUGUGAGUAGCGAAAGACGGGUGAGAAUCCCGUCCACCGAUUGACUAAGGUUUCCAGAGGAAGGCUCGUCCGCUCUGGGUUAGUCGGGUCCUAAGCUGAGGCCGACAGGCGUAGGCGAUGGAUAACAGGUUGAUAUUCCUGUACCACCUAUAAUCGUUUUAAUCGAUGGGGGGACGCAGUAGGAUAGGCGAAGCGUGCGAUUGGAUUGCACGUCUAAGCAGUAAGGCUGAGUAUUAGGCAAAUCCGGUACUCGUUAAGGCUGAGCUGUGAUGGGGAGAAGACAUUGUGUCUUCGAGUCGUUGAUUUCACACUGCCGAGAAAAGCCUCUAGAUAGAAAAUAGGUGCCCGUACCGCAAACCGACACAGGUAGUCAAGAUGAGAAUUCUAAGGUGAGCGAGCGAACUCUCGUUAAGGAACUCGGCAAAAUGACCCCGUAACUUCGGGAGAAGGGGUGCUCUUUAGGGUUAACGCCCAGAAGAGCCGCAGUGAAUAGGCCCAAGCGACUGUUUAUCAAAAACACAGGUCUCUGCUAAACCGUAAGGUGAUGUAUAGGGGCUGACGCCUGCCCGGUGCUGGAAGGUUAAGAGGAGUGGUUAGCUUCUGCGAAGCUACGAAUCGAAGCCCCAGUAAACGGCGGCCGUAACUAUAACGGUCCUAAGGUAGCGAAAUUCCUUGUCGGGUAAGUUCCGACCCGCACGAAAGGCGUAACGAUUUGGGCACUGUCUCAACGAGAGACUCGGUGAAAUCAUAGUACCUGUGAAGAUGCAGGUUACCCGCGACAGGACGGAAAGACCCCGUGGAGCUUUACUGUAGCCUGAUAUUGAAAUUCGGCACAGCUUGUACAGGAUAGGUAGGAGCCUUUGAAACGUGAGCGCUAGCUUACGUGGAGGCGCUGGUGGGAUACUACCCUAGCUGUGUUGGCUUUUCUAACCCGCACCACUUAUCGUGGUGGGAGACAGUGUCAGGCGGGCAGUUUGACUGGGGCGGUCGCCUCCUAAAAGGUAACGGAGGCGCUCAAAGGUUCCCUCAGAAUGGUUGGAAAUCAUUCAUAGAGUGUAAAGGCAUAAGGGAGCUUGACUGCGAGACCUACAAGUCGAGCAGGGUCGAAAGACGGACUUAGUGAUCCGGUGGUUCCGCAUGGAAGGGCCAUCGCUCAACGGAUAAAAGCUACCCCGGGGAUAACAGGCUUAUCUCCCCCAAGAGUUCACAUCGACGGGGAGGUUUGGCACCUCGAUGUCGGCUCAUCGCAUCCUGGGGCUGUAGUCGGUCCCAAGGGUUGGGCUGUUCGCCCAUUAAAGCGGUACGCGAGCUGGGUUCAGAACGUCGUGAGACAGUUCGGUCCCUAUCCGUCGUGGGCGUAGGAAAUUUGAGAGGAGCUGUCCUUAGUACGAGAGGACCGGGAUGGACAUACCUCUGGUGUACCAGUUGUCGUGCCAACGGCAUAGCUGGGUAGCUAUGUGUGGACGGGAUAAGUGCUGAAAGCAUCUAAGCAUGAAGCCCCCCUCAAGAUGAGAUUUCCCAACUUCGGUUAUAAGAUCCCUCAAAGAUGAUGAGGUUAAUAGGUUCGAGGUGGAAGCAUGGUGACAUGUGGAGCUGACGAAUACUAAUCGAUCGAAGACUUAAUCAA
rnacentral:rRNA from 1 species